ACAAUGGGCGAAAGCCUGAUGCAGCGACGCCGCGUGAGGGAUGACGGCCUUCGGGUUGUAAACCUCUUUCAGCAGGGACGAAGCGCAAGUGACGGUACCUGCAGAAGAAGCACCGGCUAACUACGUGCCAGCAGCCGCGGUAAUACGUAGGGUGCAAGCGUUGUCCGGAAUUACUGGGCGUAAAGAGUUCGUAGGCGGUUUGUCGCGUCGUUUGUGAAAACCAGCAGCUCAACUGCUGGCUUGCAGGCGAUACGGGCAGACUUGAGUACUGCAGGGGAGACUGGAAUUCCUGGUGUAGCGGUGAAAUGCGCAGAUAUCAGGAGGAACACCGGUGGCGAAGGCGGGUCUCUGGGCAGUAACUGACGCUGAGGAACGAAAGCGUGGGUAGCGAACAGGAUUAGAUACCCUGGUAGUCCACGCCGUAAACGGUGGGCGCUAGGUGUGGGUUCCUUCCACGGAAUCCGUGCCGUAGCUAACGCAUUAAGCGCCCCGCCUGGGGAGUACGGCCGCAAGGCUA
rnacentral:rRNA from 1 species